rnacentral:misc_RNA from 1 species
GUAUUGCAUUUCUGCUUCUAUCGAUAAACAUGCGUCAACGUGUUUCGAAAGGUUGGGGUGUUGUCACCACCGGCGGGGCGCGUGCGCCCUCGCAGGCGGGCCACGGUUCACAGGGGGGUGGAGGGAAGUGGGCGCGGGCGCGCUCCUCUCUCUGCAACGAGCGAGCAGCGGCCGCGCACCGAUUUCGCUAAUGAUCCUUCCGCAGGUUCACCUACGGAAA